UGUCUCUUACGGACUAGCCAAUGAAAUUGAUCCUUCAGUACAAAAGCUGGAAUUAGCCCAUAAGACGAGAAGACCCUGUGGAGCUUCAAAACCAAAAUCACCAAACAUGCUUCAUGGGUUUUUAGUUGGGGCGACUUUGGAGCAAAAAAAACCCUCCAAACAUAAAUCUAUUUAUUAAGACUAACACACCAAAAAAAUAUUAUAGACCCAGCAGUAUCUAUUUACUGUCUGACCAAUGAACCAAGUUACCCCAGGGAUAACAGCGCCAUCCUCUUCUAGAGUCCUUAUCGACAAGAGGGUUUACGACCUCGAUGUUGGAUCAGGACACCCCUAUAGUGCAGCCGCUAUAAAAGGUUCGUUUGUUCAACGAUUAAAGUCCUACGUGAUCUGAGU
rnacentral:rRNA from 1 species